rnacentral:rRNA from 1 species
GCUAGGGGGCUUACCCGCUUACCAAACCCUAUCAAACUCCGAAUGCCGGAAGGUGAAUCCCGGGAGUCAGACCGCGGGUGAUAAGGUUCGUGGUCGAGAGGGAAAGAGCCCAGACCGACAGCUAAGGUCCCCAAGUCCAUGCUCAGUGGGAAAGGAGGUGGGGUCGCUUGGACAGCCAGGAGGUUGGCUUAGAAGCAGCCAUCCUUUAAA